rnacentral:rRNA from 1 species
AGUGAACGCUGGCGGUAGGCCUAACACAUGCAAGUCGAACGGCAGCACAGUAAGAGCUUGCUCUUACGGGUGGCGAGUGGCGGACGGGUGAGGCAUACAUCGGAAUCUACUUUUUCGUGGGGGAUAACGUAGGGACACUUACGCUAAUACCGCAUACGAUCUACGGGUGAAAGCAGGGGAUCUUCGGACCUUGCGCGAUUGAAUUAGCCGAUGUCGGAUUAGCUAGUUGGCGGGGUAAAGGCCCACCAAGGCGACGAUCCGUAGCUGGUCUGAGAGGAUGAUCGGCCACACUGGAACUGAGACACGGUCCAGACUCCUACGGGAGGCAGCAGUGGGGAAUCUUGGACAAUGGGCGCAAGCCUGAUCCAGCCAUGCCGCGUGGGUGAAGAAGGCCUUCGGGUUGUAAAGCCCUUUUGUUGGGAAAGAAAAGCAGCAGGUGAAUACCCCGCUGUUCUGACGGUACCCAAAGAAUAAGCACCGGCUAACUUCGUG